AUAAUCAUGGAGUAUAAUAAUUAAAUUUAAUAAAUUUAAUAUAACUAUUAAUAGAAUUAGGUUACUAAUAAAUUAAUAACAAUUAAUUUUAAAACCUAAAGGUAAACCUUUAUAUUAAUAAUGUUUUUUUUUAUUAUUUUUAUAAUAAGAAUAAUUAUUAAUAAUAAUAAACUAAGUGAACUGAAACAUCUAAGUAACUUAAGGAUAAGAAAUCAACAGAGAUAUUAUGAGUAUUGGUGAGAGAAAAUAAUAAAGGUCUAAUAAGUAUUAUGUGAAAAAAAUGUAAGAAAAUAGGAUAACAAAUUCUAAGACUAAAUACUAUUAAUAAGUAUAGUAAGUACCGUAAGGGAAAGUAUGAAAAUGAUUAUUUUAUAAGCAAUCAUGAAUAUAUUAUAUUAUAUUAAUGAUGUACCUUUUGUAUAAUGGGUCAGCAAGUAAUUAAUAUUAGUAAAACAAUAAGUUAUAAAUAAAUAGAAUAAUAUAUAUAUAUAUAAAAAUAUAUUAAAAUAUUUAAUUAAUAUUAAUUGACCCGAAAGCAAACGAUCUAACUAUGAUAAGAUGGAUAAACGAUCGAACAGGUUGAUGUUGCAAUAUCAUCUGAUUAAUUGUGGUUAGUAGUGAAAGACAAAUCUGGUUUGCAGAUAGCUGGUUUUCUAUGAAAUAUAUGUAAGUAUAGCCUUUAUAAAUAAUAAUUAUUAUAUAAUAUUAUAUUAAUAUUAUAUAAAGAAUGGUACAGCAAUUAAUAUAUAUUAGGGAACUAUUAAAGUUUUAUUAAUAAUAUUAAAUCUCGAAAUAUUUAAUUAUAUAUAAUAAAGAGUCAGAUUAUGUGCGAUAAGGUAAAUAAUCUAAAGGGAAACAGCCCAGAUUAAGAUAUAAAGUUCCUAAUAAAUAAUAAGUGAAAUAAAUAUUAAAAUAUUAUAAUAUAAUCAGUUAAUGGGUUUGACAAUAACCAUUUUUUAAUGAACAUGUAACAAUGCACUGAUUUAUAAUAAAUAAAAAAAUAAUAUUUAAAAUCAAAUAUAUAUAUAUUUGUUAAUAGAUAAUAUACGGAUCUUAAUAAUAAGAAUUAUUUAAUUCCUAAUAUGGAAUAUUAUAUUUUUAUAAUAAAAAUAUAAAUACUGAAUAUCUAAAUAUUAUUAUUACUUUUUUUUUUAAUAAUAAUAAUAUGGUAAUAGAACAUUUAAUGAUAAUAUAUAUUAGUUAUUAAUUAAUAUAUGUAUUAAUUAAAUAGAGAAUGCUGACAUGAGUAACGAAAAAAAGGUAUAAACCUUUUCACCUAAAACAUAAGGUUUAACUAUAAAAGUACGGCCCCUAAUUAAAUUAAUAAGAAUAUAAAUAUAUUUAAGAUGGGAUAAUCUAUAUUAAUAAAAAUUUAUCUUAAAAUAUAUAUAUUAUUAAUAAUUAUAUUAAUAAUAUAUAUAAUUAUAUUAUAUAUUAUAUAUUUUUUUUUAUAUAAUAUAAACUAAUAAAGAUCAGGAAAUAAUUAAUGUAUACCGUAAUGUAGACCGACUCAGGUAUGUAAGUAGAGAAUAUGAAGGUGAAUUAGAUAAUUAAAGGGAAGGAACUCGGCAAAGAUAGCUCAUAAGUUAGUCAAUAAAGAGUAAUAAGAACAAAGUUGUACAACUGUUUACUAAAAACACCGCACUUUGCAGAAACGAUAAGUUUAAGUAUAAGGUGUGAACUCUGCUCCAUGCUUAAUAUAUAAAUAAAAUUAUUUAACGAUAAUUUUAUUAAAUUUAGGUAAAUAGCAGCCUUAUUAUGAGGGUUAUAAUGUAGCGAAAUUCCUUGGCCUAUAAUUGAGGUCCCGCAUGAAUGACGUAAUGAUACAACAACUGUCUCCCCUUUAAGCUAAGUGAAAUUGAAAUCGUAGUGAAGAUGCUAUGUACCUUCAGCAAGACGGAAAGACCCUAUGCAGCUUUACUGUAAUUAGAUAGAUCGAAUUAUUGUUUAUUAUAUUCAGCAUAUUAAGUAAUCCUAUUAUUAGGUAAUCGUUUAGAUAUUAAUGAGAUACUUAUUAUAAUAUAAUGAUAAUUCUAAUCUUAUAAAUAAUUAUUAUUAUUAUUAUUAAUAAUAAUAAUAUGCUUUCAAGCAUAGUGAUAAAACAUAUUUAUAUGAUAAUCACUUUACUUAAUAGAUAUAAUUCUUAAGUAAUAUAUAAUAUAUAUUAUAUAUAUAUUAUAUAUAAUAUAAGAGACAAUCUCUAAUUGGUAGUUUUGAUGGGGCGUCAUUAUCAGCAAAAGUAUCUGAAUAAGUCCAUAAAUAAAUAUAUAAAAUUAUUGAAUAAAAAAAAUAAUAUAUAUUAUAUAUAUUAAUUAUAAAUUGAAAUAUGUUUAUAUAAAUUUAUAUUUAUUGAAUAUAUUUUAGUAAUAGAUAAAAAUAUGUACAGUAAAAUUGUAAGGAAAACAAUAAUAACUUUCUCCUCUCUCGGUGGGGGUUCACACCUAUUUUUAAUAGGUGUUCACCCCUCUUCGGGGUUCCGGUUCCCUUUCGGGUCCCGGAACUUAAAAAUAAUUAUGGAAAGAAUUAAAUUAAUAUAAUGGUAUAACUGUGCGAUAAUUGUAACACAAACGAGUGAAACAAGUACGUAAGUAUGGCAUAAUGAACAAAUAACACUGAUUGUAAAGGUUAUUGAUAACGAAUAAAAGUUACGCUAGGGAUAACAGGGUAAUAUAACGAAAGAGUAGAUAUUGUAAGUUAUGUUUGCCACCUCGAUGUCGACUCAACAUUUCCUCUUGGUUGUAAAAGCUAAGAAGGGUUUGACUGUUCGUCAAUUAAAAUGUUACGUGAGUUGGGUUAAAUACGAUGUGAAUCAGUAUGGUUCCUAUCUGCUGAAGGAAAUAUUAUCAAAUUAAAUCUCAUUAUUAGUACGCAAGGACCAUAAUGAAUCAACCCAUGGUGUAUCUAUUGAUAAUAAUAUAAUAUAUUUAAUAAAAAUAAUACUUUAUUAAUAUAUUAUCUAUAUUAGUUUAUAUUUUAAUUAUAUAUUAUCAUAGUAGAUAAGCUAAGUUGAUAAUAAAUAAAUAUUGAAUACAUAUUAAAUAUGAAGUUGUUUUAAUAAGAUAAUUAAUCUGAUAAUUUUAUACUAAAAUUAAUAAUUAUAGGUUUUAUAUAUUAUUUAUAAAUAAAUAUAUUAUAAUAAUAAUAAUUAUUAUUAUUAAUAAAAAAUAU
rnacentral:rRNA from 1 species